AUGCUCACAUUUAACCAUCAACUAAUCAUGGAAAAGGAUCUAAAUGGAACCAACACCUAGACUUAGGGAUUUAUCUGACAUAAUUCCACGAGUUUUGGUGUUUGUCUAUUUCUGCAGGGGGUUAUCAGGAAAUAUGAAAGAAAGGCCCACACGUCGGGUUUACAUAGAGAUAUUAACGUGCCGCACAAUUUUCAACCAUCUAGAAGACUCCAGAAGCCACGGGAACGAACGGGAGACGUAACAGAGCCGGGCACUGGGCGCCCGCCCUCCCUUACUGGGCGCCCGCCCUCCCCCCUGGACCAAACAGAGUCCAAUUCGAGGACAACACUCCACCGACCUAAUACUUCAAGGAAAACCACACGAUCAAUGUUGGUUUGCUCCGACGGCCCAGAUUCACUUGAAGGGACUAUAAAACCAGACCCCCUUGGCCCCCGGAGAUCAUACCUCUUCUACAGAAUCAAAGUUAGGGUUUCAAUUCUUCAUCCAAGUAGAGAGGAUCCCUCUAGUUCUUCUAGUUCUACCUCUAGUUCAUCUAGAUCUAGUUCUAGUUCAUCUAGUUCUAGUUCUAGUUCCUCUAGUUCUAGUUCUAGUUAGUUCUAGUUGUAAUCUAGAAAAUAGGGAGAGAGAAGAGGAGAGCGGAGGAGGAGCCGGAUCUGUCGGAUCUUCCUCAACAUUAUAC
rnacentral:lncRNA from 1 species